rnacentral:tRNA from 1 species
UAGCUCAGUCGGUUAGAGCAUGGUGCUGAUAACACCAAGGUCGAGGGUUCGAUCCCCAC